rnacentral:rRNA from 1 species
GAAGAAGGGUUUCGGCUCGUAAAGCUCUGUUGGUAGUGAAGAAAGAUAGAGGUAGUAACUGGCCUUUUAUUUGACGGUAAUUACUUAGAAAGCACGGCUAACUAGUGCC